rnacentral:rRNA from 1 species
UAUCUCUGUAGAGUCUGCAUAUCAAUAAGCGGAGGAAAAGAAACUAACAAGGAUUCCCUUAGUAACGGCGAGUGAAGCGGGAAGGGCUCAAAUUUGAAAUCUUCAAGGUUUUACCUUGACGAAUUGUAGUUUAAAGAAGUGUUUUCUGUUGAAGUUUUGGUAAAAGUUCUUUGGAAUAGGACAUCAUAGAGGGUGAGAAUCCCGUAUUUGAUCCAUUAUUUAUCACAGCUUGUGAUACACUUUCAAAGAGUCGGAUUGUUUGGGAAUGCAGUCCAAAAUGGGUGGUAAAUUUCAUCUAAAGCUAAAUAUUGGCGAGAGACCGAUAGCGAACAAGUACCGUGAGGGAAAGAUGAAAAGAACUUUGAAAAGAGAGUUAAACAGUACGUGAAAUUGUCAAAAGGGAAGCGUUUGACACCAGUGUUGUUUUCUCGAAAAUCAAUUAAAAAAAGUUGGAUUUUGUAUUGUUAAGACCUUAUCAGCUUACUGUACUCUUUUCUUGCUUUUUUUAAUGCACUUUUCGUUUAGCAAGUCAACAUCAAUUUCUUUUGUUGUAAAAGAGUCAUUGGAAGGUGGCUUUCACUUCGGUGAAAGUGUCUACAGCCUUUGGCUUCUGCAAUCGGAGAGAUUGAGGUCUGCAGCGUAGAUCCUUCGGGGCUAGAUACGUAGAUGCUAAGUUAUAGUUUUUUAUAGACAACUUGUUGACUAUAAUUAAUCAUGUAGCUUACUCGUUUGCGCUAUUUUACCUACGCUUAGGAUGUUGAUGUGAUACUGCGAGCA